ACAGCGAGGACGCUGUGAACAACGGGUCUUAUUCCGACCGGUUGUUCCGCUCUCGUGUGUGUGCACCCGAUUACGGGUAAACAUUCACGGAGAGUUUGAUCCUGGCUCAGGACGAACGCUGGCGGCGUGCUUAACACAUGCAAGUCGAACGAUGAAGCCCUUCGGGGUGGAUUAGUGGCGAACGGGUGAGUAACACGUGGGCAAUCUGCCCUUCACUCUGGGACAAGCCCUGGA
rnacentral:rRNA from 1 species